AACGAACGCUGGCGGCGUGCCUAAUACAUGCAAGUCGAGCGGACAGAAGGGAGCUUGCUCCCGGAAGUUAGCGGCGGACGGGUGAGUAACACGUGGGCAACCUACCCUGUAGAUCGGGAUAACGUCGAGAAAUCGGUGCUAAUACCGGAUAAUCAUUUGAAGUGCAUGCUUCGAAUGUAAAAGAUGGCUCCGGCUAUCACUACGGGAUGGGCCCGCGGCGCAUUAGCUAGUUGGUAAGGUAAUGGCUUACCAAGGCAACGAUGCGUAGCCGACCUGAGAGGGUGAUCGGCCACACUGGGACUGAGACACGGCCCAGACUCCUACGGGAGGCAGCAGUAGGGAAUCUUCCGCAAUGGACGAAAGUCUGACGGAGCAACGCCGCGUGAGUGAUGAAGGUUUUCGGAUCGUAAAGCUCUGUUGUUAGGGAAGAACAAGUGCCGUUUGAAUAAGGCGGCACCUUGACGGUACCUAACCAGAAAGCCACGGCUAACUACGUGCCAGCCGCCGCGGUAAAAC
rnacentral:rRNA from 1 species